rnacentral:rRNA from 1 species
AACGAACGCUGGCGGCAUGCCUAACACAUGCAAGUCGAACGAGGGUCCCAGCUUGCUGGGGUGCCCUAGUGGCGGACGGGUGAGUAACGCGUGGGAACCUGCCAUGGAGUGAAGGAUAACCACUGGAAACGGUGGCUAAUACUGCAUAAUCCCUGAGGGGGAAAGGCUUCGGCCGCUCUUUGAUGGUCCCGCGUUAGAUUAGCUUGUU